CCUACGGGGAGCAGCAGUCGAGAAUCAUUCACAAUGGGGGAAACCCUGAUGGUGCGACGCCGCGUGGGGGAAUGAAGGCCUUCGGAUUGUAAACCCCUGUCAUGUGGGAGCAAAUUAAAAAGAUAGUACCACAAGAGGAAGAGACGGCUAACUCUGUGCCAGCAGCCGCGGUAAUACAGAGGUCUCAAGCGUUGUUCGGAAUCACUGGGCGUAAAGCGUGCGUAGGCUGUUUCGUAAGCCGUGUGUGAAAGGCGCGGGCUCAACCCGCGGACGGCACAUGAUACUGCGAGACGAGAGUAAGGGAGGGGGAACCGGAAUUCUCGGUGUAGCAGUGAAAUGCGUAGAUAUCGAGAGGAACACUCGUGGCGAAGGCGGGUUCCUGGACAUUAACUGACGCUGAGGCACGAAGGCCAGGGGAGCGAAAGGGAUUAGAUACCCCUGUAGUC
rnacentral:rRNA from 1 species